AUGUCUGCUUGCACACCACCAUGUCACAGGAUGAUGAUAAUGGAGUAAAUCUCUGAACUGUGGACAGGACAUCAACUUCCUAACACUUGCAUGUUUGUUUACGUAAGAGACAAAACACAUCUCAGCAGAUGCCCAAAGAACUGGCCUACGAGCAACCUGAAGGCACGAGAUACAGCCCAGCAGAGGCAAGGGACUGGAUUCUUUCCUCCCGCGGGUGGGUCUGCAGCAGUGGCUGCAACAGUGGACUGAAGAGGUGUCCAACACAGGGCAUUGGAUGUAUGGUGCCUUCACCCUACACUGGUAUUGGGUGGAAAGUGACCUUCCAGGACCUGGAGCAGAGAGACUACUAUUAAAUGUUAUGUAGUUUACCAGGUUGUUCUUUCAGAAUGUUCCAUGAGAAGACCUCAACCUCAAGGACGGCGAUCUCAUGAGACUACAGUGGAGCUGUACCCUAUGGACAUGGAGACUGCUGUAACAUUGUAGAACGAGACAUCACUUUGUGUUUAUGGAGAUGUUGGGGUAAACCAGCCCACCACACUUCCCGCUGUAUGAAAGCACAGCACACAU